rnacentral:rRNA from 1 species
AUGCAGCAUUCUAAAUCUACGGAUCUGUUCAGUGCUAUUAUCAACACUCUUGGCCUUAGAGAGAUGUAUAUGAGUGGGGGCCAAUAUACUUGGUCCAAUAACCAAUCACAUCCUACAUUUGAGAAGUUGGAUAGGGUGGUCAUUUCUGACUCCUGGGAACGCUUAUUCCCAUUGGCAUCUUUAAGAAAGUUGGUCAGAGAGCUUUCUGACCACAACCCUCUUCUUCUGUACACUGAUGAGGAGAAGAGGGAACCUACCAAGGCUCGAGAGUUUCGUUUCGAUCUCUCAUGGGUGAAAGAUGAUAGGUUCCUUGCCCUGGUGACUAAGAUUUGGAGUAGGAAGGUUGCAGCCUCGGACCCCAUUGACAUCCUGAAUAUUAAACUUAAGAGGUUUAAGUCAUAUUUCAAAGGAUGGGGCUCGGACAAAUUUGGACAUGCCAAAAAACGUAAAGAAGAUCUGAGGAUCGAACUGGAAUUAUUGGAAGAAGAAGAAGAGGGUGGCCCUUUGUCUCCUGAGAUUUACAAUAGAAAGGUGGAUGUUGAACUUUGUGAACUGUUAGCCGCGGAGGAAAUCUAUUGGUUGUAG